rnacentral:rRNA from 1 species
GGACCCGCACAAGUAGUGGAGCAUGUGGUUUAAUUCGAAGAUACGCGCAGAACCUUACCAACACUUGACAUGUUCGUCGCGACUUUAAGAGAUUAAAGUUUUCGGUUCGGCCGGACGAAACACAGGUGCUGCAUGGCUGUCGUCAGCUCGUGUCGUGAGAUGUUGGUUAAGUCCCGCAACGAGCGCAACCCUCACUUUUAGUUGCCACCAUUUAGUUGGGCACUUUAAAAGAACUGCCAGUGAUAAGCUGGAGGAAGGUGGGAUGACGUCAAGUCCUCAUGGCCCUUAUGUGUUGGGCUACACACGUGCUACAAUGGUACUUACAAUGGGAUGCAAAGAGGCGACUCUUAGCUAA